CUUAGUAUUUUCUUAUUUUGAAAAUUGGUUGUAGAAAUACAUACAUGUAUCUAAAAAUAUUUCAGCACUUAUUAUUACCCAGAAUUUUACAUACAAAUACAUUUUAUAUAGAAUUUUAACAGAAACAAGUCACAUAUCUAUAUAGAUAGACUAAAGCAAAACGAAACAAGUCUAUGUACUUGCUGUAAUUAGGAAGAGGAACC
rnacentral:lncRNA from 1 species